UUUGCAAAAUAAAAAAAAUGCCCAAUCUACUUGGAAGGUGGCGUGACUUACUUGGGCAAGGAGAAAAAGAAAUAUAUAAAAAGGCAUGACAUUGAGAGCAGACGCCACUUUUUACUUUUGGGGAGCAGCCACUUUUUGGAGCAGGCGACUUUUGAGAGAAGAAAAGGGGACGCAACUUCAGAGAAAGGAAAAAACGGCAGAAGCUUUGGAGGAGUUUUGAACGUGAGGAAAUUAAGAGAGAAGAGAAAGGAGAAAAUUCCAGCUAUCAUCUCCUCCAAAUUUACUCCAUGGUACGAGCAGAUUCCACAGGAACAGCAACGAGAUCCACACGCAGAAGAUCAACCGAUGCUAUGUCAGAUGGUUGCAUGACUGCCAUAAAUGGAAAACCAAGGAUGCCACAAGCAACACAAGGAGAACUCUCGCCCACUGAUGUCAACACAGAAACAUCUGUGUCAUGGCAGAGUUCGGAUACUUUACUCGAAGAUGGAAGUGAAUCAACAUCCCACAGAACUGCGUGGUAGUAGGAAUUUCUUUGGAGAAGAAUAGACACACG